rnacentral:rRNA from 1 species
UCAUUACGCCGCGUGAGGGAUGACGGCCUUCGGGUUGUAAACCUCUUUUAGUUGGGAAGAAGCGAAGUGACGGUACCAACAGAAAAAGCACCGGCUAACUACGUGCCAGCAGCCGCGGUAAUACGUAGGGUGCAAGCGUUGUCCGGAAUUAUUGGGCGUAAAGAGCUCGUAGGCGGUUUGUCGCGUCUGCUGUGAAAAUCCGAGGCUCAACCUCGGACCUGCAGUGGGUACAGGCAAACUAGAGUGCGGUAGGGGAGAAGGGAAUUCCUGGUGUAGCAGUGGAAUGCGCAGAUAUCAGGAGGAACACCAAUGGCGAAGGCACUUCUCUGGGCCGUAACUGACGCUGAGGAGCGAAAGCGUGGGGAGCGAACAGGAUUAGAUACCCUGGUAGUCCACGCCGUAAACGGUGGGUGCUAGUUGUGGGUCACAUUCCACGUGAUCCGUGACGCAGCUAACGCAUUAAGCACCCCGCCUGGGGAGUACGGUCGCAAGACUAAAACUCAAAGGAAUUGACGGGGGCCCGCACAAGCAGCGGAGCAUGCGGAUUAAUUCGAUGCAACGCGAAGAACCUUACCAAGACUUGACAUAUAGAGGAAACUGC